CCUACGGGUGGCAGCAGUGAGGAAUAUUGGUCAAUGGGCGAGAGCCUGAACCAGCCAAGUCGCGUGAGGGAGUACUGCCCUAUGGGUUGUAAACCUCUUUUGUCGGGGAGCAAAAGCCGGACGUGUCCGGCUGUGAGAGUACCCGAAGAAAAAGCAUCGGCUAACUCCGUGCCAGCAGCCGCGGUAAUACGGAGGAUGCGAGCGUUAUCCGGUUUUAUUGGGUUUAAAGGGGGCGCAGGCGGAUUUUUAAGUCAGCGGUAAAAUCGUGGGGCUCAACCCCAUCCAGCCGUUGAAACUGGGGAUCUAGAGUGUGCGAGAGGUAUGCGGAAUGCGUGGUGUAGCGGUGAAAUGCAUAGAUAUCACGCAGAACCCCGAUUGCGAAGGCAGCAUACCGGUGCACAACUGACGCUCAGGCACGAAAGCGUGGGUAUCGAACAGGAUUAGAUACCUCUGUAGUC
rnacentral:rRNA from 1 species